GCCCUUAGAGUUUGAUCCUGGCUCAGGAUGAACGCUAGCGGUUUGCCUAACACAUGCAAGUUGCACGGCGCCAUGCCUCUCGAGGAAUGGCGGAGUGGCGGACGGGUGAGGAACGCGUAAGCACCUGCCCCUGGGAGGGGGAUAACAGCUGGAAACGGCUGCUAAUACCCCAUAUCCUGAGGAGGAAAAGGAGAGAUCCGCCCAGGGAGGGGCUUGCGUCUGAUUAGCUAGUUGGGGGGGUAAUGGCCUCCCAAGGCAACGAUCAGUUGCUGGUCUGAGAGGAUGAUCAGCCACACUGGGACUGAGACACGGCCCAGACUCCUACGGGAGGCAGCAGUGAGGAAUCUUCCGCAAUGGGCGAAAGCCUGACGGGGCAAUGCCGCGUGAAGGAUGAAGGCCCAAUGGGUCGUAAACUUCUUUAGAUCAGAGACGAAGAGAUGACGGUACCUGAAGAACUAAGCAUCGGCCAAACCCCGUGCCAGCAGCCGCGGUAAGACGGGGGAUGCGAGCGUUAUCCGGAAUGAUUGGGCGUAAAGGGUCCGCAGGUGGCCCGGUCAGUCCGCUGUCAAAGCCUGGGGCUCAACCCUGGAGAGGCGGCGGAGACCACCGGGCUUGAGUCCGGUAGGGGCAGAGGGAAUUCCCGGUGGAGCGGUGAAAUGCGUAGAGAUCGGGAAGAACGCCAAGGGCGAAGGCACUCUGCUAGGCCUGAUUUCGCGACUGACACUCAGGGACGAGAGCCAGGGGAGCGAAUGGGAUUAGAUACCCCAGUAGUCCUGGGCCGUAAACGAUGGAUACCAAGCCCUGCGCGUAUCGACCCGGGCAGGGCUGUAGCUAACGCAUGAAGUAUCCCGCCUGGGGAGUACGCUCGCAAGAGUGAAACUCAAAUGAAUUGACGGGGAAGGGC
rnacentral:rRNA from 1 species